CUUUUUAGCAGGGGCCUUACGGGUGCGCGCUUCGGUCCUGGAGGCCUUAUCCUAGCCUCCUCUCUCCAUCAGCGCCACCCGUCUGGGGCCCAAAAGGAGGGAGCUUUACCUCUGUCCCCCAGCCUUUGGAGUGUCACCAAACAAGCCAUUCGUUCACCAAAUACUUAUUAAGUGCCUGACAACGGAGAUGUAACGAAAUUGCCUGUUUGCUCCACUCUGGUUGAAGAAACCAGUCUGACUGUCUCUGAGGCUAUGGAGCAGUCCAUCAAGAAUGAAAGCCCUCUGCCAGGCACGUUGGCUCACACCUGUAAUACCAGCACUUUGGGAGGCCGAGGCAGGUGGAUCACUUGAGGUCAGGAGUUCGACACCAGCAUGGCCAACAUGGUGAAACCCUGUCUCUACAGAAAAUAAUACUUUGCAAGGCCUCAGAAACUCUGCUAUCCACAGGCAGGUAGAAGUUGCUGGUCCCAUCUUGCUCACAAUCCUCCAAAGUUUGGAAGUUACUUUCCAGGAGACUUAGCUUGCACUGAGAGCUGCCCUCCCACCCUCUCUCCAAAUUUCCUCUUGGG
rnacentral:lncRNA from 10 species